CUGGUCUUGGCAAAGUGGUCAUUGCAACAGAAUCAAAAUCUGUUGAUUUUCUCCUGCGCAGGUUCGAAACCUGCUGAAUGAG